UACAGAGGGGGCAAGCGUUGUUCGGAAUUACUGGGCGUAAAGGGCGCGUAGGCGGCCCUCUAAGUCGAACGUGAAAUCCCCGGGCUCAACCCGGGAACUGCGUCCGAUACUGGAAGGCUUGAAUCCGGGAGAGGGAUGCGGAAUUCCAGGUGUAGCGGUGAAAUGCGUAGAUAUCUGGAAGGAACACCGGUGGCGAAGGCGGCAUCCUGGACCGGCAUUGACGCUGAGGCGCGAAAGCCAGGGGAGCAAACGGG
rnacentral:rRNA from 1 species